AGCCGCAGUCGCUUGAUGGAGGGGAGCGGCAGACGGGUGAGUAACACGUGGGAAUUUGCCCUAUGGCGGAAUAACACAGAGAAAUUUGUGCUAAUACUGUAUGUGUCCUUCGGGAGAAAGAUUUCGCCAUAGGAUAAGCCCGCGUCCGAUUAGCUAGUUGGUGUGGUAAUGGCGCACCAAGGACGAUCGGUAGCUGGUCUGAGAGGAUGAUCAGCCACACUGGGACUGAGACACGGCCCAUACCUACGGGAGGCAGCAAGUGGGGAAUAUUGGACAAAUGGGCGCAAAGCCUGAUCCACAUGCCGCGUGUGUGAUGAAAGGCCUUAGGGUUGUAAAAGCACUUUCGCCUGCGAGGAAUGACGGUAGCAGGAUAAGAAGCCCCGGCUAACUUCGUGCCAGCAGCCGCGGUAAUACAGGGGGCUAGCGUUGUUCGGAAUCACUGGGCGUAAAGCGCACGUAGACGGACUUUUAACAGAGGUGAAAUCCUGGAGCUCAACUUCAGAACUGCCUUUGAUACUGGAAGUCUUGAGCGGUAGAGGUGAGUGGAACUGCUAGUGUAGAGGUGAAAUUCGUAGAUAUUAGCAAGAACCAGUGGCGAAGGCGGCUCACUGGACCGGUACUGACGCUGAGGUGCGAAAGCGUGGGG
rnacentral:rRNA from 1 species